rnacentral:rRNA from 1 species
AGUGAACGCUGGCGGUAGGCCUAACACAUGCAAGUCGAUCGGCAGCACAGAGGAGCUUGCUCCUUGGGUGGCGAGUGGCGGACGGGUGAGGAAUACAUCGGAAUCUACUCUGUCGUGGGGGAUAACGUAGGGAAACUUACGCUAAUACCGCAUACGACCUACGGGUGAAAGCAGGGGACCUUCGGGCCUUGCGCGAUUGAAUGAGCCGAUGUCGGAUUAGCUAGUUGGCGGGGUAAAGGCCCACCAAGGCGACGAUCCGUAGCUGGUCAGAGAGGAUGAUCAGCCACACUGGAACUGAGACACGGUCCAGACUCCUACGGGAGGCAGCAGUGGGGAAUAUUGGACAGUGGGCGCAAGCCUGAUCCAGCCAUACCGCGUGGGUGAAGAAGGCCUUCGGGUUGUAAAGCCCUUUUGUUGGGAAAGAAAUCCAGCUGGCUAAUACCCGGUUGGGAUGACGGUACCCAAAGAAUAAGCACCGGCUAACUUCGUGCCAGCCGCCGCCGUAA